UGAGACAGGUGCUGCAUGGCUGUCGUCAGCUCGUGUUGUGAAAUGUUGGGUUAAGUCCCGCAACGAGCGCAACCCUUAUCCUUUGUUGCCAGCACGUAAUGGUGGGAACUCAAAGGAGACUGCCGGUGAUAAACCGGAGGAAGGUGGGGAUGACGUCAAGUCAUCAUGGCCCUUACGAGUAGGGCUACACACGUGCUACAAUGGCAGAUACAAAGAGAAGCGACCUCGCGAGAGCAAGCGGAACUCAUAAAGUCUGUCGUAGUCCGGAUUGGAGUCUGCAACUCGACUCCAUGAAGUCGGAAUCGCUAGUAAUCGUAGAUCAGAAUGCUACGGUGAAUACGUUCCCGGGCCUUGUACACACCGCCCGUCACACCAUGGGAGUGGGUUGCAAAAGAAGUAGGUAGCUUAACCUUCGGGAGGGCGCUUACCA
rnacentral:rRNA from 1 species